ACCACUAUGUCAGAACAAACAGUUGAGAGUUUGCAAGUUAUAUUCACUAAAGGUGAAAAAUAUCUGAAUAAGUGCCUUUAGGAAAAUAUUAAAUCUAUACUGAUUGACUAACAUUUCUCAAUGUGGGUCUUCUAGAAGUGCUCUUUUUAUUAUUUCAGGAGGCUGGUUGCAUACUGGUAUCGUACGACAGUACAUUAAGUGUCCUGAGUCCAUUACUGACCCAAGAAGUAAUACCAAACUCCCAAACAAGCUGUUCUGUCUUAGGCUCUUAGCAACUAAGAGUUAACUAACUCCAAAAUUCUUAGCAAUGGCUUCUCAGGCAGAGUGAAAAUUCUUAGCAAUGGUCCACCAUCUCGUGUGCGACUAUCUUUUUUUAAUCAGUUUCCACUGAAAACAUCCCCUCCAUUUCUCUCUCCUCAAUUUCUAAUCUACCUUCACUCUUUCUUCUAUCUUCUGAGAUCGAUUUUCUCCACUUCAAACCCUAAAUUUCCCAAAUUCGUUCGUCAAAAAACCUAAUUCGUCGUCUUUUUCGUGAUUGAUGACGCAAUUUAUGAGUUGAUUAAGCUAGGGUUUUAAGUUUUGAAAGCUUCAGAGAAGAGAAAAUGGCGAGGGUUCAAGAAAAUUGAGAGCGCUUAGUUCGAGCGACUCUUCGGCGCUAGCAACUUCGAACCACCGGUCCUGGCCAUGAGCGCAACCUAGCGGACUUGCUGGAGCUGUUCCGCCUUCACUUGGCCGAGCCUCGAAUAUCGAUGCGAUUUUGCAGGCUGCUGAUGGGAUUCAAGACGAGGAUCCUAAUGUCUCUUGCAUUUGUAUGUUCCUUUCUUUUUUUCAUGACCUUUAUUAUUUUCUGCUUGUUUAUGAUAGUGAACUUUCCGGAAGACGAGUAUUCCCCUAGAUCUGAGGAAGGAGGAGGGAGGAGGGAGGAAGGAGGAUCGAAGAGGAAUUGGGGUGAGAGGAGAGAGAAAAUGAGUGUAAUUUGGGUAGUGUGUGGGGGAAGGCAAGUGGGCGGGGAAGGAGGUGGCCACACGGUUUGGAUUCCGUGUGGCUGAGUUGUACAAAAAACGCAAUGUAAAAAGAUGAAGAUAAUACUUGAUAUUAUUCACAAAAGGUUUCCUAUGCUAGAGCUAAGAGAUACGUAAAGCUUUGGAAUAUGCUAAUACAAAAGAUAUACUAUGCAAAAGUAGAGGAUUACAAUAAUAUUACAGAAGAUAAAGUUGACAUAGUUAACUAGGAUUUGAUAUUACGUGAUCUUGAGGAGUGAGCUAGGCCAAUCAUUACAUCACAAAUCUUCCUCAGUAACUUCAAUAACAAUAAAUGCCCAAAAAAAUGCAGAACGGAGGGAGUACUUCCUAUAUCAAUUUAAAAUCUGAGCAAUUCGGCAUGUAGAGAAAUCUGAUACGGGUUUGCAAACGAUACUUGCCACCCUCCCACUAACCUAAACCCUAUAUUUUUUUUUUCCUCUUCUCAUCUUUUUCGACGAAUCUACUUCGACAUGGUGGCUGCUACAAGAUCUGUGUCUAAAAGUAUGGCGACAAAUAAAUCCAGAUCAAAGUCUAAGAUGGCUGCGACGACCACAUCCAGAUCUAAGGCUUCGGCGACUGUUGCAGAAAAUAUGGUGAUGACCAGAUCUAGAUCCAAAGCUUUGAUGCCUGUUAAAAGGACAGCCAGGGUUUCGACUGCUGUUACUGAAGCUUGUAUUGCUGAAGCAAACAAGCAAAUGGGGAGGAAGAAGCUCAAGGCCUUCUAUAAAAGUAAGCCUUUUGUUAAUGCAGUGCAGUCCACAGCUCAUGACAUGUACUUGGAGGAAGAUGAAGGCGUGAGAGAAUAUGUGCAGAAACUGAAUCAUGGGCCAAUAGCAGAUGCGGUGGCGCGGUCCGCAGUUGAAAAGGUGGUGCUUGGUGGAUAAGGUGGUAGUGGCCUAGUGGGUGUGCUGGAGGUUGUGUUCGGUUGGAAUGUUGGUGCUAGCCUGCUAGGUGUGUUGGAUGUGGUGGUCAGUGUGUGUUAGGUGUGCUGGAUGAAGCGGUGGGUGGGUAAGGUGGUGGUUUUGGUAGAGAGAGGGAGUUCGGUGGUGGCUGGUAGGUGGUGUCCUGUUAGUGGUUGUUGCUGGUGGUUUUGGGGGCUGUCUGAGGUGGGCUAAUACUUUCAAUGCCACUAGUGAUACCAAAGCCAGUAGAGAUACCAACUCCUCUUUGUGAAAAGCUUAAGCCAGUAGAGAUACCGGCUCCUCUUUGUGAUGCGCAUAAGAGAUGGCGUGCCAUGUCUGAUGAU